ACCUGGCGGCAUGCCUUACCAUGCAAGUCGAACGGCAGCACGGGGGCAACCCUGGUGGCGAGUGGCGAACGGGUGAGUAACAUAUCGGAACGUGCCCUGGAGUGGGGGAUAACUAGUCGAAAGACUAGCUAAUACCGCAUACGAUCUACGGAUGAAAGUGGGGGAUCGCAAGACCUCAUGCUCGUGGAGCGGCCGAUAUCUGAUUAGCUAGUUGGUGGGGUAAAGGCCUACCAAGGCAUCGAUCAGUAGCUGGUCUGAGAGGACGACCAGCCACACUGGGACUGAGACACGGCCCAGACUCCUACGGGAGGCAGCAGUGGGGAAUUUUGGACAAUGGGCGCAAGCCUGAUCCAGCAAUGCCGCGUGAGUGAAGAAGGCCUUCGGGUUGUAAAGCUCUUUUGUCAGGGAAGAAACGGUUCGGGCCAAUACCCUGGGCUAAUGACGGUACCUGAAGAAUAAGCACCGGCUAACUACGCGCCGGCAGCCGCGGUAAU
rnacentral:rRNA from 1 species